UGUGUGCCCCAAUGCUGGAGAAAGAGGUCUAACCUAAAGUACUGGAUGCAGAUAACUCUCAGCACUGGAUGGUUCUAGUCGUUGACUGUUAAGACACUGGCUUCAAGAACAGGAGGUGUGAGCCUGAGCUUGGCUCUGUAGUGAAGAGUUCUUCUUACUGCUCUAGGAGACCCAGGCUUGAUCUCCAGCUGCACAAACAUCUGUAAUUCCCGUUCUAGUGCCUUCUUCUGGACAACUUGGGCACAAGACGUGCACAUGGUGCACAGACACAUAUGCAGGUCUGAUGAGCUGCGUGCUGGAUGCAGCAGCAGCCUCUGGAAUUUCAACACGGCUAUGGCAAGUCUGGAAGCUGAUUAUAGGAGAAUUUGUUUGGAUGCUCACAAGAGCAGAAACAACAAAAUCCCUUUGCCUCCUAAGUGCAGAGACCGCAGGUCUAUAUCUGCAUUAUAUCUGACUAGAAGAAAACAAGAUUUUAAUGAAAAUGGAAGAUCCAGAGAGAGAACUCAUCAGGUAGAGUGCUUGCCUCCCAGAUUGGCAUUGCCAGAACCUAUGUAAAACCCAGAGCCAAAGGAAGCAUCGAUCACUGGCCUCUGUAUGACGCACUCCUGUACACACACUGUAUGUAUACAACACACAUACAUGCAUGUACAUACACACACACACACACACAUUGUAUACAUUGCAUACACUGGAAAAAAAAUAGAAGAUGAAAAUGUCAGACACCAUCGAAACUAACAAGAGCAAGUUUCAUGAGGUUUUGUCUUAAAGUAUACAUAGAUGACAAAUUAAUUGAUAGGUGACCAUAAAGAUAAUAGAUGAUAGAAAGAUGAUAGCUGAUAGGUAAAUGGAUAGAUAGAUAUUG